rnacentral:tRNA from 1 species
GCGGCGGUAAUUCAGUGGUAGAAUGUCUGCUUGCCAAGCAGAAUGUCGUGGGUUCAAGUCCCAUCCGCCGCUCCA